rnacentral:rRNA from 1 species
GAUGAACGCUAGCGGCAGGCUUAAUACAUGCAAGUCGAGGGACAGCACAGGUAGCAAUACUGGGUGGUAACCGGCAAACGGGUGCGGAACACGUACACAACCUUCCUUUAAGUGGGGGAUAGCCCAGAGAAAUUUGGAUUAAUACCCCGUAAUAUAGUUGAAUGGCAUCAUUUGAUUAUUAUAGCUACGGCGCUUAAUGAUGGGUGCGCGGCUGAUUAGAUAGUUGGCGGGGUAACGGCCCACCAAGUCUACGAUCAGUAGCUGAUGUGAGAGCAUGAUCAGCCACACGGGCACUGAGACACGGGCCCGACUCCUACGGGAGGCAGCAGUAAGGAACAUUGGUCAAUGGACGCAAGUCUGAACCAGCCAUGCCGCGUGAAGGAUUAAGGUCCUCUGGAUUGUAAACUUCUUUUAUUUGGGACGAAAAAGGGACUUUCUAGGUCAACUGACGGUACCAGAUGAAUAAGCACCGGCUAACUCCGUGCCAGCCGCCGCCGUAAUAC